GACAGAGGGUGCAAACGUUGUUCGGAAUUACUGGGCGUAAGGCGCGUGUAGGCGGCAGGGUAUGUCGGAUGUGAAAUCCCGUGGCUCAACCACGGAAGUGCACCCGAAACUACCCAGCUUGAGUCUCGGAGAGGAAGGCGGAAUGCUUGGUGUAGAGGUGAAAUUCGUAGAUAUCAAGCGGAACACCGGUGGCGAAGGCGGCCUUCUGGACGAUGACUGACGCUGAGACGCGAAAGCGUGGGGAGCAAACAGG
rnacentral:rRNA from 1 species